rnacentral:rRNA from 1 species
CCUACGGGGGGCAGCAGUAGGGAAUAUUGCUCAAUGGGGGAAACCCUGAAGCAGCAACGCCGCGUGGAGGAUGAAGGUUUUCGGAAUGUAAACUCCUUUUGUUAGAGAAGAUAAUGACGGUAUAUAACGAAUAAGCACAGGCUAACUCCGGGCCAGCAGCCGCUGUAAUACGGAGGGUGCAAGCGUUACUCGGGAUCACUGGGCGUAAAGAGUGCUUAGGCGGGAUAGCAAGUCAGAUGUUAAAUCCUAUGGGUUAAACAUAGAACUGCAUUUGAAACUGUUAUUCUAGAGUAUGGGAGAGGUAAGUGGAAUUCUGUGUGUAGGGGUAAAAUCCGUAGAGAUCAAGAGGAAUACUCAUUGCGAAGGCGACCUGCUAGAACAUAACUGACGCUGAUGCGCGAAAGCGUGGGGAGCAAACAGGAUUAGAUACCCGAGUAGUC